ensembl:misc_RNA Metazoa_SRP Metazoan signal recognition particle RNA
GCCAGGCAUGGUGGCUCAUGCCUGUAAUCCCAGCACUUUGGGAGGCCGAGGCAGGUGGAUCGCCUGAGGUCAGGAGUUUGAGACCAGCCUGGCCAACAUGGUGAAACCCUGUCUCUA